rnacentral:rRNA from 1 species
UACGGAGGGGGCUAGCGUUGUUCGGAAUUACUGGGCGUAAAGCGCACGUAGGCGGCUUUGUAAGUUAGAGGUGAAAGCCCGGGGCUCAACUCCGGAAUUGCCUUAAGACUGCAUCGCUCGAAUUGUGGAGAGGUAAGUGGAAUUCCGAGUGUAGAGGUGAAAUUCGUAGAUAUUCGGAAGAACACCAGUGGCGAAGGCGACUUACUGGACACAUAUUGACGCUGAGGUGCGAAAGCGUGGGGAGCAAACAGG